GUGCAAAUCUGGAGGCUCAACCUCCAAACUGCAUUUGAAACUGCUUUUCUUGAGUAUCGGAGAGGUAAUCGGAAUUCCUUGUGUAGCGGUGAAAUGCGUAGAUAUAAGGAAGAACACCAGUGGCGAAGCCGGAUUACUGGACGACAACUGACGGUGAGGCGCGAAAGCGUGGGGGGCAAACAGGAUUAGAUACCCUGGUAGUCCACGCUGUAAACGAUCAAUACUAGGUGUGCGGGGACUGACCCCCUGCGUGCCGCAGUUAACACAAUAAGUAUUGCACCUGGGGAGUACGAUCGCAAGGUUGAAACUCAAAGGAAUUGACGGGGGCCCGCACAAGCGGUGGAUUAUGUGGUUUAAUUCGAAGCAACGCGAAGAACCUUACCAGGACUUGACAUCCUACUAACGAGGUAGAGAUACGUCAGGUGCCCUUCGGGGAAAGUAGAGACAGGUGGUGCAUGGUUGUCGUCAGCUCGUGUCGUGAGAUGUUGGGUUAAGUCCCGCAACGAGCGCAACCCCUAUUGUUAGUUGCUACGCAAGAGCCACUC
rnacentral:rRNA from 1 species